rnacentral:rRNA from 1 species
ACCCGGAAACUGCAUUGAAUACUAUCCUGCUCGAGGGUUGGAGGGGGGACUGGAAUACUUGGUGUAGCAGUGAAAUGCGUAGAUAUCAAGUGGAACACCAGUGGCGAAGGCGAGUCCCUGGACAACUCCUGACACUGAGGCACGAAAGCUAGGGGAGCAAACAGGAUUAGAUACCCUGGUAGUCCUAGCCGUAAACGGUGCAUAUUUGCUGUAAAAGGAAUCGACCCCUUUUGUGGCGUAGCCAACGCGUUAAAUAUGCCGCCUGGGAAGUACGGUCGCAAGAUUAAAACUCAAAGAAAUUGACGGGGGCCUGCACAAGCGGUGGAGUAUGUGGCUUAAUUCGAUGCAACGCGAAGAACCUUACCUGGCCUUGACAUGUAUGUAGUAGAAGGAUGAAAGUCUGACGAGGUAG